UAAUACCUAGACUGACGAUUCAUUCAUUAAAAUGCCUUUUUAAGCACGUAUAAAUGCAAAUCAGCUGGAGACGCCAUAAACACCAUAUUUGUUACAUCGAUGAUAAUUUGCUCAAUAGCAUAUUUGAAUUUGUUAAAUAGAUUGAUAUGAGUCACUGUACUUCAUGCAAGAAUACAAGCUUAACUUCUAAUAAAAAAAUUUCUUUUCAUAGACAUUAAUAUUAUUUUUUUUAAGAUUUCCUAUCAUGAAUGAAAUUUUAUUAUCAAAAUGGCUAAAGGCAAUGAAUAAGGAAAAUUUCACUCCUAAUAAGUUUUCAAAGCUUUGUGGAGCCCAUUUCAAACCUGAAUGUUUUAUGCCCUCACAUUCAGGGAAUGCUAUUCUAAAGGAAGGAUCUGUACCAUCCAUUUUUAAUUCCAGACCCCUUCAGGAUAUAUAAAUAUUGAAUAUAUAUUUAUUUUAAAUAUUAUAUUUUUUUAAGAUAACAAAUAUUCCAUCGAAUACAAAUAAUACUCCUACAAAUUUUAACUAUAUAGAAAAAAAUGAUCAUACUUAUGCUACUAAUAUUUACUCUUUAGCUAAAAAGAAAAAAUUAGAAAUACCUAUUAAUAAUCUAGAAGUGGAAGGCUUGGAAGAGCCUGUUAAAGAUAAUAGCCCAAAAACAUCUACCAGUUAUCCAAAAGUGUAUGUUAUAUUGGAUGUAUGCCAUAUGAUGAAGCUACUUAGAAAUCUGCUCGGUGAUAAAAAAUUUUUAAUCAAUAAUAAUAAUGGAGCUAUAAUAAAUUGGAAAUAUAUAAAAAAUCUUCACAAUUUACAGGAUAAGGAAGGACUAAGGGCUGCUAAUAAGAAGUUGACGAAAUUCGCAGGACAAUAAAUAUAUUGGCACAUGAUCUUUUUUAAUUUAUAUUAUGACUGUAUAUAUUUAAAUAUGGAUGCUAUAUAUUAAUGAAUUUUGUAAUUUAUCGUACAUUAUAUCUAUUUUCUAAUUUAUAAUAAAAUAUGGAUGCUAUAUUAAUGAAUUUCG